rnacentral:rRNA from 1 species
UUACCAGUGCGACGGUGAGUACACGUAGAUUACUUAGAGGGAUAACAAGAGUUUAACUUACUGGAACAGUUGCUAAUACCCAUAUGCUUUCGAGUGAAAUGGAUUUUCCGCCUAGAGAGAAGCUUGCGGCUGAUUAGCUUGUUGGUGAGGUAAUGGCUCACCAAGGCGACGAUCAGUAUCUGGUUUGAGAGGACGAUCAGACACACUGGAACUGAGACACGGUCCAGACUCCUACGGGAGGCAGCAGUGGGGAAUUUUCCGCAAUGGGCGAAAGCCUGACGGAGCAAUACCGCGUGAGGGAUGACGGCCUAUGGGUUGUAAACCUCUUUUUUCAGGGAGGAAUCAAUGACGUGUACCUGAAGAAUAA